UACAGAGGGUGCAAGCGUUAAUCGGAGUUACUGGGCGUAAAGGGCGCGUAGGCGGUUUUGUAAGUAAGGUGUGAAAUCCCUGGGCUUAACCUAGGAAUUGCAUUUUAAACUACAAGGCUAGAGGACAGUAGAGGGUGGUGGAAUUUCCGGUGUAGCGGUGAAAUGCGUAGAGAUCGGAAGGAACAUCAGUGGCGAAGGCGACCACCUGGACUGUAACUGACGCUGAGGCGCGAAAGCGUGGGGAUCAAACAGGAUUAGAUACCCUGGUAGUCCACGCUGUAAACGAUGAGAACUAGAUGUUGGUUCGCGCGAGCGGAUUGGUAUCGAAGCUAACGCGAUAAGUUCUCCGCCUGGGGAGUACGACCGCAAGGUUAAA
rnacentral:rRNA from 1 species